rnacentral:rRNA from 1 species
UCGGGAAUUUUGGGCAAUGGGCGAAAGCCUGACCCAGCAACGCCGCGUGAAGGAUGAAAUCCUUCGGGAUGUAAACUUCGCAAGAACGGGAAGAAUAAGUAAGAGCUAACAUCUCUCACGAUGACGGUACUGUUUGUAAGCUCCGGCUAACUCCGUGCCAGCAGCCGCGGUAAUACGGGGGGAGCAAGCGUUGUUCGGAUUUACUGGGCGUAAAGGGCGCGUAGGCGGCCACCGCAAGCCGACUGUGAAAUCUCCGGGCUUAACCCGGAAAGGUCAGCCGAUACUGCGGGGCUGGAGUGCAGAAGGGGCAACUGGAAUUCUCGGUGUAGCGGUGAAAUGCGUAGAUAUCGAGAGGAACACCUGCGGCGAAGGCGGGUUGCUGGGCUGACACUGACGCUGAGGCGCGAAAGCUAGGGGAGCGAACGGGAUUAGAUACCCCGGUAGUCCUAGCCUUAAACGAUGAAUGCUUGGUGUCUGGGGUUUUAUAGUCCCCGGGUGCCGUCGCUAACGCUUUAAG